rnacentral:lncRNA from 11 species
CUCUUUCUCAGCAAACUCUGCUUUCUCCCUGCUGCUUCCCUCUCCUAAUGGCAAGAGGCCAUUAAUUUAAAGAGUAAUGGCAGCUGCUUUGGCUUAGUUUUGCUUGCUUGCACUGAAAAUAAAACAGACUUUGUGAGGCUUCUGAGGUUUACAAAAUUCAAACAAAAAAGUAUUGGAUCUGAUAGGAGAAAAGUGAACAAGCAGAUUUCUAUCAAGAUACUGGAAAUACCUUCCCAGUCCAGCAUGCAGUCAUGCCAGUGACAUGACUUGGACACAUCAACGGACAACGCGGGCUCUUCAGCUUAGAAUUGGAGGUGAGCACUACCCCUAGAGGCAGACAUGACUAGACUUAAUGUCAAGGGGAAACAUUU